rnacentral:tRNA from 1 species
GGCGGCGUGGCCUAAUGGAGAAGGCGUUGGUCUUCGGAACCAAAGAUUGCGGGUUCGAGUCCCGUCGUCGUCA